rnacentral:rRNA from 1 species
UACGUAGGGCGCAAGCGUUGUCCGGAAUUAUUGGGCGUAAAGAGCUCGUAGGCGGUCUGUCGCGUCUGCCGUGAAAACCCGAGGCUUAACCUCGGGCUGGCGGUGGAUACGGGCAGACUAGAGGUAGGUAGGGGAGAAUGGAAUUCCCGGUGUAGCGGUGAAAUGCGCAGAUAUCGGGAGGAACACCGGUGGCGAAGGCGGUUCUCUGGGCCUUACCUGACGCUGAGAAGCGAAAGCAUGGGGAGCGAACAGG